rnacentral:tRNA from 1 species
GCGGAGAUGGCCGAGUGGUCUAAGGCGGGUGACUCAAGUUCCCCUCUCUUCGGAGGCGUGGGUUCGAACCCCACUCUCCGCA